AUGAACGCUGGCGGCGUGCCUAAUACAUGCAAGUCGAGCGAACGGACGAGAAGCUUGCUUCUCUGAUGUUAGCGGCGGACGGGUGAGUAACACGUGGAUAACCUACCUAUAAGACUGGGAUAACUUCGGGAAACCGGAGCUAAUACCGGAUAAUAUUUUGAACCGCAUGGUUCAAAAGUAAAAGACGGUCUUGCUGUCACUUAUAGAUGGAUCCGCGCUGCAUUAGCUAGUUGGUAAGGUAACGGCUUACCAAGGCAACGAUGCAUAGCCGACCUGAGAGGGAGAUCGGCCACACUGGAACUGAGACACAGUCCAGACUCCUACAGGAGGCAGCAGUAGGGAAUCUUCCGCAAUGGGCGAAAGCCUGACGGAGCAACGCCGCGUGAGUGAUGAAGGUCUUCGGAUCGUAAAACUCUGUUAUUAGGGAAGAACAUAUGUGUAAGUAACUGUGCACAUCUUGACGGUACCUAAUCAGAAAGCCACGGCUAACUACGUG
rnacentral:rRNA from 1 species